rnacentral:rRNA from 1 species
UACGAAGGGGGCUAGCGUUGUUCGGAAUUACUGGGCGUAAAGGGCGCGUAGGCGGUCCUGAUCGUCGGAUGUGAAAGGCCUGGGCUCAACCUGGGAAUGGCAUCCGAUACGGCGGGACUGGAGUGUGGGAGAGGGUGGUGGAAUUCCCAGUGUAGAGGUGAAAUUCGUAGAUAUUGGGAAGAACACCGGUGGCGAAGGCGGCCAACUGGACCACAACUGACGCUGAGGCGCGAAAGCGUGGGGAGCAAACAGG